GUGGGGAAUAUUGGGCAAUGGGGGAAACCCUGACCCAGCGACGCCGCGUGAGGGAAGACGGCCUUCGGGUUGUAAACCUCUUUUGUACGGGAAGAAGGAAGUGACGGUACUGUACGAAUAAGUCCCGGCUAACUACGUGCCAGCAGCCGCGGUAAUACGUAUGGGACGAGCGUUGUCCGGAAUUACUGGGCGUAAAGGGCGCGCAGGCUGUGCUGCACGUCAGCUGUGAAAUGUCUGGGCUUAACCCGGGCAUGCGGUUGAGACUGCAGUGCUGGAGUGCUGUAGAGGCAAGUGGAAUUCCCAGUGUAGCGGUGAAAUGCGUAGAUAUUGGGAAGAACACCGGUGGCGAAGGCGACUUGCUGGGCAGCAACUGACGCUGAGGCGCGAAAGCCAGGGGAGCAAACGGGAUUAGAAACCCGGGUAGUCC
rnacentral:rRNA from 1 species